rfam:Polaromonas sp. JS666, complete genome.
CCACCCCUGGAACGGGGUGACCUUCACCACACGUGCGUCCUGAGUAAUCGGGGGGUGCGGAGCUGUGGUUAAACGUCCCGUGCCCCGGCACACAGGUCAUGCGCGAGCUUGGCCGACUCACAGAACAAGACUGUGCGGAGACG